rnacentral:sRNA from 1 species
GUCCUGUUAGAAAAGGAAAACUUCUGUUAUAUUUCUAAUUGUAUCUCUGGUAGAUUAGAGUAGGGCUAAAUGCAAAGUGGCACAAAUUUGCAACAGAAAAGGAACUAUUUUACGUUCUUUUGAAUAGGUAAUGCAUUCACAUGGUUCAAAAUUGGGAAAAUAAAAAUGUCUCUUAUCCUUGCCUCCCAGGUACUCAGUUCCCUUCCAUGGAGGCAAGGUAGUCUUUUGUGUCACCUUCCAGAGCUAUUCUAUAAACAUAUAAGCAAAAAAGAAAAUGAUUAGGCUGCGUGUGGUAGCUCACGCCUGUAAUCCUAGCACUUUGGGAGGCUGAUACGGGAGGAUUGCUUGAGACCAGGAGUUUGAGACCAGCCUGGGUGACAGAUAUAGUGAGACUGUCUCUUAAAAAAAAAAAAACAAAGAAAAGAAAAAACAAUUUUAAAAAAUUAUAUCUCAAUAAAGCUGUUUUGUAAAAAAAAAAAAAAAAAAAAAAAAAACCCAAACUAUUUCUAUAGUAUAAUCGAAUGGUGUAUUAAGUUCUCACAUUACUAUGUUGCUGAAGCAACACAAACACAAAAGGAAGAUUUAAGACUGACACAGUUUAUUUCAUGUGAUUUUCUUUUUAAAAUCUUGGUCUCUGAGAUAGGAAAGUAGCUGGAAUUAUAUUUCAUAAAUCUCUGUAUCUGACAAAUUGGAUCUAUAUGAGCCUUGGCAGCUUAAUAACUAUUUUCUUGUUAUCUUUCUUUUCUUUUUCUAUUAAAUGUAUUAUGUUAAUGCAAACAA